rnacentral:rRNA from 1 species
UACGUAUGGGGCGAGCGUUGUUCGGAAUUAUUGGGCGUAAAGGGCGUCUAGGCGGGAAAUUAAGUUGGAUGUGAAAGCCAUGGGCUCAACCCAUGAACUGCAUCCAAAACUGAUUUUCUUGAGUUCGGGAGAGGAGAGCGGAAUUCCAGGUGUAGCGGUGAAAUGCGUAGAUAUCUGGAAGAACACCAGUGGCGAAGGCGGCUCUCUGGCCUAUAACUGACGCUGAAGCGCGAAAGCGUGGGGAGCGAACGGGAUUAGAUACCCCGGUAGUCCACGCUGUAAACGUUGUAUACUAGGUGUUAGUGGCUUGACCACUAGUGCCGACGCAAACGCAUUAAGUAUACCGCCUGGGGAGUACGCCCGCAAGGGUGAA